rnacentral:rRNA from 1 species
GAUGAACGCUGGCGGCGUGCCUAAUACAUGCAAGUCGAGCGAACAGACGCGGAGCUUGCUACUUUGACGUUAGCGGCGGACGGGUGAGUAACACGUGGGUAACCUACCUAUAAGACUGGGAUAACUUCGGGAAACCCGAGCUAAUACCGGAUAAUAUUUCGAACCGCAUGGUUCGAUAGUGAAAGAUGGCUUUGCUAUCACUUAUAGCUUGACCUGCGCCGUAUUAGCUAGUUGGUAAGGUAACGGCUUACCAAGGCAACGAUACGUAGCCGACCUGAGAGAGUGAUCGGCCACACUGGAACUGAGACACGGUCCAGACUCCUACGGGAGGCAGCAGUAGGGAAUCUUCCGCAAUGGGCGAAAGCCUGACGGAGCAACGCCGCGUGAGUGAUGAAGGUCUUCGGAUCGUAAAACUCUGUUAUUAGGGAAGAACAAACGUGUAAGUAACUGUGCACGUCUUGACGGUACCUAAUCAGAAAGCCACGGCUAACUACGUG